ACGGGAGGCAGCAGUGGGGAAUAUUGGGCAAUGGGCGAAAGCCUGACCCAGCGACGCCGCGUGAGGGAAGAAGGUCUUCGGAUUGUAAACCUUAGUCAACAGGGAAGAAGCAAGUGACGGUACCUGUGGAGGAAGCCACGGCUAACUACGUGCCAGCAGCCGCGGUAAUACGUAGGUUGCAAGCGUUGUCCGGAUUUACUGGGUGUAAAGGGCGUGUAGGCGGAGCUGCAAGUCAGAUGUGAAAUCCCGGGGCUCAACCCCGGAACUGCAUUUGAAACUGUAGCCCUUGAGUAUCGGAGAGGCAAGCGGAAUUCCUAGUGUAGCGGUGAAAUGCGUAGAUAUUAGGAGGAACACCAGUGGCGAAGGCGGCUUGCUGGACGACAACUGACGCUGAGGCGCGAAAGCGUGGGGAGCAAACAGGAUUAGAUACCCUGGUA
rnacentral:rRNA from 1 species